ensembl:lncRNA novel transcript
GCUGAUGGACUAAAAACUGGCCAUCUUUGAUCAGAGGGAUCGUGGAUUUUUGCAACUUUCCUGGCCAGACUUCGUCAAGGCCCUGCCGGCCUGCUGGACACUGAUUGAUCAAAGAUUGAUCAAACAGCUCCUCCCCUCACUGAGGGCAGAUGCUUGCUUCAAGGAUCAAACAGCCCGGCUCUGCCAGGCACCGCCCAGCAGCAGAAGGUUGUGCUUCAAGUCUGCACAGCCCUCCAACUUUGGAUGUUUCUUAGACCACCGGGGAUGCAAGUCUUCUAGUCCUUUCUAUUCAGACCAGCACUGACGGUGAAGGAGCUGAGGCCAGGGUUGGCCAUGUGGAGGCGUAGGGAGAUGGAACAUCGGGGACGCACUGCUUCUCUCCUGCUCACGUAGAACUUGAGGACAGAGGCUCUGUCUGGCAUCUGAAGACCCAGCAAAGCCCAGCUCUGCCAGCAGCUUGCCAGGACCUGAGAAAGCCCCUCUCUCCCCGGGCCUCAGUUUCCCCAGAUGUACGUGGAGGGAUUGGCCUAAAUGAGCUCAGCGGAUCUCAUGGCCCCGAUCCUGGCAGGUUGGUGACUGGCUGCCCUGUCCCCAGCCCUGUGGGGGUUCAAGGUGUGAGCCUUGUGGUGGGGGUACACAGGGUCCCCCAAAUUCAUGUAUAUCCAGAGCCUCAGAAUGAGACCUUAUUUGGAAACAGAGUAUUUGCGGAUACAAUUAGGUAAGGACCUCUAGCUAGAAGCAUCCUGGAUUUCGGGUGGGCCCCAAAUCCAAUGACUGCUGGAGAGGACGCCAGAGCCACAGGGAGAAGCGGCCACGUGGAGACGGAGGCAGAGGCUGGAGUGAAGUGGCCAAAAGCCAGGGCGCGCCUGGGCCACCAGAAGCCGGA